rnacentral:rRNA from 1 species
GAUCAUAUCACGUUGAAACACCGGUUCUCGUACGAUCACCGAAAAUAAGCAAUAUCGAGCAUGGCCAGUACCUAGAUGGGUGACCGCUUGGCAAUACCAGGUGCU